GACGAACGCUGGCGGCGUGCUUAACACAUGCAAGUCGAACGGAAAGGCCCUGCUUUUGUGGGGUGCUCGAGUGGCGAACGGGUGAGUAACACGUGAGUAACCUGCCCUUGACUUUGGGAUAACUUCAGGAAACUGGGGCUAAUACCGGAUAGGAGCUCCUGCUGCAUGGUGGGGGUUGGAAAGUUUCGGCGGUUGGGGAUGGACUCGCGGCUUAUCAGCUUGUUGGUGGGGUAGUGGCUUACCAAGGCUUUGACGGGUAGCCGGCAUGAGAGGGUGACCGGCCACAUUGGGACUGAGAGACGGACCAGACUCCUACGGGAGGCAGCAGUGGGGAAUAUUGCACAAUGAGCGGAAGCCUGAUGCAGCAACGCCGCGUGCGGGAUGACGGCCUUCGGGUUGUAAACCGCUUUCGCCUGUGACGAAGCGUGAGUGACGGUAAUGGGUAAAGAAGCACCGGCUAACUACGUG
rnacentral:rRNA from 1 species